GACGAACGCUGGCGGCGUGCCUAAUACAUGCAAGUCGAACGCUGAAGGAGGAGCUUGCUUCUCCGGAUGAGUUGCGAACGGGUGAGUAACGCGUAGGUAACCUGCCUGGUAGCGGGGGAUAACUAUUGGAAACGAUAGCUAAUACCGCAUAACAGUAGAUAUCGCAUGAUAUCUGCUUGAAAGGUGCAAUUGCAUCACUACCAGAUGGACCUGCGUUGUAUUAGCUAGUUGGUGAGGUAACGGCUCACCAAGGCGACGAUACAUAGCCGACCUGAGAGGGUGAUCGGCCACACUGGGACUGAGACACGGCCCAGACUCCUACGGGAGGCAGCAGUAGGGAAUCUUCGGCAAUGGACGGAAGUCUGACCGAGCAACGCCGCGUGAGUGAAGAAGGUUUUCGGAUCGUAAAGCUCUGUUGUAAGAGAAGAACGAGUGUGAGAGUGGAAAGUUCACACUGUGACGGUAUCUGACCAGAAAGGGACGGCUAACUACGUG
rnacentral:rRNA from 1 species